UACGAAGGGAGCUAGCGUUACUCGGAAUUAUUGGGCGUAAAGCGUGCGUAGGCGGCUUUGUCAGUCAGAAGUGAAAGCCUGGGGCUCAACCUCAGAAUUGCUUUUGAUACUGCAAGGCUAGAGUAUCAUAGGGGAUAGCGGAAUUCUUAGUGUAGAGGUGAAAUUCGUAGAUAUUAAGAGGAACACCGGUGGCGAAGGCGGCUAUCUGGGUGAAUACUGACGCUGUUGCACGAAAGCGUGGGGAGCAAACAGG
rnacentral:rRNA from 1 species